UGUGUUGCGCUAUAAGAACUCUAUCUGGAUUGGAGCUGAUGUGCAGUUGUAGCAUGAGAUGUUCUGGAAUCUUCAUGCUAUUUCCGUCAGAGUUCAUUCAGGAUUCCUUGUGACAUAUCUCGAUUCAGUUUUUGGAAAUUGUGAACUUUUUUUCGAAGUCGGUGAACAUUUUUAAUUCAUGAUUUUUUUCUAUUUUUCCUUUUUUGUAUUUCUUAAAAUAAUUUGUACUAAUAACUAUAUAAUAUAUGUUAUG
rnacentral:lncRNA from 1 species